UUGAACGCUGGCGGCAGGCCUAACCCAUGCCAGUCGAGCGGAUGAAGGGAGCUUGCUCCUGGCUUCAGCGGCGGACGGGUGAGUAAUGCCUAGGAAUCUGCCUGGUAGUGGGGGAUAACGUCCGGAAACGGGCGCUAAUACCGCAUACGUCCUGAGGGAGAAAGUGGGGGAUCUUCGGACCUCACGCUAUCAGAUGAGCCUAGGUCGGAUUAGCUAGUUGGUGGGGUAAAGGCCUACCAAGGCGACGAUCCGUAACUGGUCUGAGAGGAUGAUCAGUCACACUGGAACUGAGACACGGUCCAGACUCCUACGGGAGGCAGCAGUGGGGAAUAUUGGACAAUGGGCGAAAGCGUGAUCCAGCCAUGCCGCGUGUGUGAAGAAGGUCUUCGGAUUGUAAAGCACUUUAAGUUGGGAGGAAGGGCAGUAAGUUAAUACCUUGCUGUUUUGACGUUACCAACAGAAUAAGCACCGGCUAACUUCGUG
rnacentral:rRNA from 1 species